rnacentral:rRNA from 5 species
CUCAGAUCAUGUAAGAUUUUAAUGAUCGAACAGAUCAAAAUUUUAAACUUUUGCAUUUAAAUUUUAUCUUAAUCCAACAUCGAGGUCGCAAACUUUUUUUUUUAUUUGAACUAAAAAAAAAUAUUACGCUGUUAUCCCUAAGGUAAUUUUUUCUUAUAAUCAUUAUUAAUGGAUCAUUUAAUCAUUUAUUUAUGUUUAAUUUUUAAAAAAAGUUAAUUUAAUUUUUCUAUCACCCCAAUAUAAUAAUUAAUUUUAUUUUAAUAAAAAUUUUUAUAUAAUUUUAAAAUAAAAAUAAAUAUAAAACUCUAUAGGGUCUUCUCGUCUUUUAAAAUUAAUUUAGCUUUUUAACUAAAAAAUAAACUUCUAAAAAUAAAUAAGAGACAGUUUAUAUUUCAUCAAAUCUUUCAUACAAGUUUUCAAUUAAAAAACUAUUGAUUAUGCUACCUUUGUACAGUCAUUAUACUGCAGCCCUUUAAUUAUUAUCAGUGGGCAGAUUAGACCUUAAAUUAUAUUCAAAAAGACAUGUUUUUG